rnacentral:rRNA from 1 species
GAUGAACGCUGGCGGCGUGCCUAAUACAUGCAAGUCGAGCGAAUGGAUUAAGAGCUUGCUCUUAUGAAGUUAGCGGCGGACGGGUGAGUAACACGUGGGUAACCUGCCCAUAAGACUGGGAUAACUCCGGGAAACCGGGGCUAAUACCGGAUAAUAUUUUGAACUGCAUGGUUCAAAAUUGAAAGGCGGCUUCGGCUACCACUUAUGGAUGGACCCGCGUCGCAUUAGCUAGUUGGUGAGGUAACGGCUCACCAAGGCAACGAUGCGUAGCCGACCGGAGAGGGUGAUCGGCCACACUGGGACUGAGACACGGCCCAGACUCCUACGGGAGGCAGCGGUAGGGAAUCUUCCGCAAUGGACGAAAGUCUGACGGAGCAACGCCGCGUGAGUGAUGAAGGCUUUCGGGUCGUAAAACUCUGUUGUUAGGGAAGAACAAGUGCUAGUUGAAUAAGCUGGCACCUUGACGGUACCUAACCAGAAAGCCACGGCUAACUACGUGCCAGCAGCCGCCGUAA